rnacentral:misc_RNA from 1 species
UAUAUAUAUAUAUAUAUAUGUAGAAGAUAAGGCUUAGGAUGAAGUGAUGGUGUAAGGACUGAAGCCAUGUCGAAGACUAGCUUCCCAAGCUUUCUCAACAUUGAAGAUUUGGUCGCCACACUCGUGCACAUUCCACCCUUCCAGGGCAUGCAGUAUUCCCGCUACACGCCAAGCACUCAUCACUCUUCUUGGCAGCCAAUUCUCACAAGAAUGCAAAUUCUCAAAAGCUUUAGGAAUUAUCAUAGCUGGCGUGCUGUAAUACACGCAAUCUAUUCGCCAUUUCUUGGGAGGAAACUGUGAAAAGGGAAUGAAUAGUGUUCCUUUGGCUGCUUUCAUCUGCUCUUCUCUGCCCAAUUCAUCUCCCACUAACCAUACCUUGGGAACGAAUGUCGUUGGAUGGACGACCAAGUUACUUUGCGAGAUAUUUACCCUCUGCCUAAGCUUCUCGCACUCAUGCUUGCUCAUUGUUGCUACCUGAAUUCCCCUUUGGCAUAGAGCAAAGGCAACAGCAUAAGCAAUUUUGGUGAGGUUGCCUCUAAGAAGCACUUGUGUUGUCCCUUGGGGUAUACUGUUUAGCACCACAGCCACUGUUAGGCUGCUCCCAUCCACCACUUUAAUUUUGAGCCAGGUAUUCUUUUGGAGAUAUAUCUCACCAUUUCUGUUGAGCUCCUCACCCUGAUUCAGAAGUCCAAGAGUUAGCACCUUAACUCCUCUCUUGUCUGCCUCUAUUAUGGCUUCUUCAAUCAAGCCAUUGAUAGCUUCUCUUUGCCUUUGGAACAAGUAUUGAAUUCUGUAUCUCGGUAAUACCCAAGAUUGCGAUUUGAGAGUGUUGAAAGUGUUUCUCUCGGAAAUAAAUGUGUGUCCGUAGAUCGAAGACAUGAUGACUGACCAAAGUAUUGUUACGGGACACAAAAACCAUAGAUACCAGUUACAAGUGUAAGGUUUGGAGGCCAAGGAGGCAAAUCCGAACGGCAGGUAGUAGAUAGACUCGGGCGUCGUCAGAUGCAUAAGAUGUACAACCUCCGGUGAGUCUUCCUGUCUUCUAAGCGAAGCUUCAUAUAGCGUAUCGGAACAUUUGUCCACGGUAUCGUAAAUGUAGUCAUAUAAGGGCAUGAAAAGCGAGUAAUUGGUCCGGAACUGAGUAUGAUGCAACGAGUGAAAUCUAUCAUGCAAAUUAUUCUUAAUUAAUAAUUAUGAAGGAAUACAUAAUUAAUCUUCUACAUUUUAAAUCAAACAAAUUUUGCACAACUUUUCUACUCUUUAAUUAUAGGUUUAAUAUAUUUAGAAUUGGGGGGCUCUCAGGCUAGGUGUUGCAAGCAAUGGUUAACUGUUCAAUAUCGCAGCAAUCAAUAGUUCAAAGUACACAAGGUUUGGGCACUCAAAUUCCAAUGACAAAUAAAGGAUCUAUUCGUUAACUUCAGUUAGUUAAGGAUCUAUGCAAUUUCCUUUUUAAAUUAGAAAAUUGUGGCACUCUUUAGCAUUAAUAGGGAAAAUUUUUCUAUUAAUAGUCAUAGUAUCAUUAAAAAAUCAUUACAUAUAGAAUGAUUAUAUAAAAAUAAGAGAGCUAAUUGAGUACUAAUUAACUAAUUAAUAAUGGGAAGAAAGACGUACGAAGGAGUAUACAUAAUAAACUUGAGAGGGGGAAAGAUGGAGAAGAGGGUCUUGGGAAUGAACUCAAAGUUGCAGUGACCCAUGUUGUUCAUCAAGUCGAUGUAAGUGACGUAGCCAGCGAAGGAGACAAUAGAGGCAGUGCGGGUGACUAGCGUUGUAGUGAGUGGGAUUGCAAACAGCGUAAAAUAUGCGAUGUGUUCCGCAAAUGGAUGAAUCACAGAGGUGAUAGGCUCUGUGGCAAUGGAGGAAUGGUGAUGCGAAUGGUAUCUAUUGUAUAAGUAAUGGUGAUGAAGUAAUCUGUGUAGCCAAUAAUAGAGGAACUCCACAGGGCCCGCAUGAAGCAGCAUAGUUAUAAUGACACCAUCCGUUCUCCAAAAGGGAAAGUGAGAACCCAAAGAAGUGAUGGUGUAAACUACGUAAAAUAUUAGUCCGUUGAAGACAAUCUGGUCAUCCCAGUUGCUCUCUCUGUCAACUUGUUCGAACUCAAUGCCCUUGUCAACGAUCCUAUUGUUGCCUUUGGCCGUUCUGUAACGAGAAAAUGAAAUCCAAAUCUGAUUGUGAAGCAUCCGCAGCAGCAGAAAUGGGAAUAUGAGAAAGUAACCAAGGUCUCUUUCACUUUUUUCUUUCACCAUGAAUGAAUAGGUGCUAUGAAUUGCCCACGGUGCCAAAAUCAUGUGCUUAAAACUCCCAAGAUUUUUCCAAGGCCAGUCGGUGAGGAUGCCUGGCGUAGUAGCCAUAUUUUGGCAGUUCUUUUCUUUUCCAAGGUUAAUGUGUUUGUCGAUCUCGGAGCAUGAAUCACUACAUGGGGUUUAUAUAAACUUCCAACAACCAAUUGCAACGUGUCAACCUUUACAAACUCUCACUAGUGUGUGAAUUUAUGUCUAAUAAGUAAUAACCUGUCAUCCUGCUAAAAGCUGCAGAAAGUCUGGCCAACCUCCUCCCAUCUGCCUACUGAUUCUUUUUAUUUGGUGGCUAGCUGUUGC